AUGAGAUUGACGGUCCAGACUUCUGACAUUAAAUCUGGCUUCCCUCCAAUGCUCUGUCCUACUUCCUGUGAAGCAGGAAGUGACACAGUGGCAUCAUUCCCCUUCCUGAGAAUUCCUGACUAUUCUGAUCCCAUUAUUACUCUAACAACCCCAGUAAUAAGAGCAUGGCUUUGGAACAUCAACAGGCCCAGCUCUAUCCUAACUUCUAUUAGUUUCAGCUUUUUAAUGUGGUCUUGCUCUAUCAAUGAAGGAACUCCUUACAGCCCUUGGCUCCUGAACAUCAUCUCUGAUUCCUUCUUCUGUUAUAAGAAAAAGCUUCAAGCUCUUCACGUUCCUCAGGUGUCGGUUUCCUUCUAAUCAUUGGAUCUCAACUUAAAAAUCACAAACUUUGGGACAACUUGACCACUCAGUCUCCCUCUGACUCUUCUUCUGUUUUUAUUCUUGCGUAGCAAGAAUUAUCAACAACCAAUAUUUUUUCUGUUUUUGCUUCUCCCAACUAAACUGUAAGUGUCGUGGGAAGAGAGCCCUUGUCUAUUUUGUUUAUGUAUCUUCCGUAUCUUGAACACAAUCUGGCACCCAACAGGGUCUCGUACAUAAUAGGUACUCAAUAAAUAUUUAUAUACUAUAAAUACAUCAACGAGUGUGUUCUUUCUACCCUCCUUUCUGUCCCUCCUAUCUCUAGCUUUUCACCUCUUAAAUUUAUUAUUCAGAAUAAGAAUAGAAGACAUAUAAUGUCUCAUGCUUAGUCAUUUGUAAACAGUAAGUAAAACCCUAGAACUCCCAAAUUGUAAUGAAGAAUUCUAAAUUGUAAAAUGUGACAUGUGGAUGGUUCCUCUGAAAUGUUUACCAGCCUCCCGAAAAUGGCUCCUUAUCUUCAUGAAUACAAAUGAAGAAGGAUCGCUGAACGAUUACCUUCAAAGAAGCAGCAGCCUGUCUGUAAUCACCGUCAGAUUCUCUCUGCUCAGGCUCUGAUGCGCACCCCUGAAUUCACUUCAUUAGUUUUAAUUAUCCCCGCCGUGAGCAGGCAAAGACUUUAGAGCUAUUUUAGAAAUGGAAUUAGCAAACUUGUAGACUGGAUAACUUUCUCCAAGGUGUUUAGCUGUAAUUGUCCUCGUGUUGAGUAGAAACAGAAGUAGCAUCAGCUUAUCCAUUUGGUGAAUUUAUAUUGCAUUUUGGGGAAGAUGCUGUUUGAUGACUUUUUUCAUUUGUCUGGAUUCAUUAACAUCAAAUCUACCUAGACUGACCUAGCCCUGGCUGAACCGUUGCUACAUUCCUACUUUUUCCUAUGACAUAAUUCCGAGUUGAGCCACAUUUCUGUCUCUCUUUCACACAUACACACACCCUCACUAGCAGCAGAAGCAGCAGCAGCAGCAGCAAAUCAUGCC
rnacentral:lncRNA from 1 species